GGCCAGACUCCUACGGGAGGCAGCAGUGGGGAAUAUUGCACAAUGGGGGAAACCCUGAUGCAGCGACGCCGCGUGAGUGAAGAAGUAUUUCGGUAUGUAAAGCUCUAUCAGCAGGGAAGAAAAUGACGGUACCUGACCAAGAAGCCCCGGCUAACUACGUGCCAGCAGCCGCGGUAAUACGUAGGGGGCAAGCGUUAUCCGGAUUUACUGGGCGUAAAGGGAGCGUAGACGGUUGUGCAAGUCAGAAGUGAAAGCCCCGGGCUCAACUCCGGGACUGCUUUUGAAACUGUGGAACUGGAGUGCAGGAGAGGUAAGCGGAAUUCCUGGUGUAGCGGUGAAAUGCGUAGAUAUCAGGAGGAACACCAGUGGCGAAGGCGGCUUACUGGACUGUAACUGACGUUGAGGCUCGAAAGCGUGGGGAGCAAACAGGAUUAGAUACCCUUGUAC
rnacentral:rRNA from 1 species